GACAGAGGGUGCAAACGUUGCUCGGAAUCACUGGGCGUAAAGGGCGCGUAGGCGGACAAGUAAGUCGGGCGUGAAAUCCCUAGGCUCAACCUAGGAACUGCACUCGAAACUGCAUGUCUUGAGUACCGGAGAGGAAAGCGGAAUACCUGGUGUAGAGGUGAAAUUCGUAGAUAUCUGGAGGAAUACCGGUGGCGAAGGCGGCAUCCUGGACCGACAUUGACGCUGAUGAGCGAAAGCUAGGGGAGCAAACGGG
rnacentral:rRNA from 1 species